UUAAUCGGUUCAGUUGUUUGUAACUUCUUUGAUAUAUAUGGUUAAUUGAGUUUUUUGAGGAGUUGCGGAGAAGAUCAUCUUGGCAUUUCUUAAGUUUGUUCUUAUUUAUUUGUUUGUCAUGUUCCUUGUGAAUUACUAUGGGAUUUCUUUUGUGCUAAUGGGAAUGUUUAUUGGAAGCUGUGGUGAUAUAAUGUGAUUUUUUUUAUUCGUUCAAUUUGAUUAUUAUUACACGUCUUGUGUUUUCAGUAGCUGCAUUUUUUCUUUUGAAGGUUUUCGGGUGGUGGUCCAUUGUUCCAUGGUGUGGACCAUUUGGUGAUUGGAUGUCUAUGAUUCUUGAGAAAUCCCAUAAAUGUGGGAUGUUCGUUUUUCCAUUUGAUUUUUUUUUUUUUUUUUUGAGUUAUCACUAUUUGCAUUUUUGCAUUAUUGCUUUUCUUUUGGAUGUUGGGUUUCAUUUCUUACUGUGAGUUGCCUUUGCCUAGAUUACCUAUAUUUACUAAGGACACACCAAAUGCUAGUAUGUUGAGAGACAUUCUCCACAAUGGAAUUUAUUUUCAUGCAAAAGAGUUGAAAGAUGCAAAGACCUUGGUUGAUGGAAAUUUGGUAAAGACCUUGUAAACAUGGGUUCUAUGGGUUUUUUUUUUAUCAAAUUUUCUGUAUUGUGGCUACUAUCUUGCCUAAGGAGUGCUUUACUAUUUGGUUUCCUAGGAAUGGAGUAUUGCUUUCAUUCGAAUCUUACAUGACUUAGUAUCUAGGUUUUACUUGGUUUUGUGGACUAAGUUCUUUUCAUCUCACAGAAAUUGGACAGAUAUGUGUUGUGGAGAAAUCAAUUCUCUAGCUUUAGAGAAUCAUCUGAUUGCCAACCUAACUGCUUUUCAACCAAUUGCAGGCUGGUGCACUAAUGCUUGCUGAUAAUGGCAUAUGUUGCAUUGAUGAGUGCAGGGAUUAAGUUAAACCAUAUCAACAGUGGUGGCUGAGAUAAUCAAGGAAGAUUUGUGGCCUAAUCCUCUAAAGUAUUUCAAUAAUCCAUCCAACAAAGAAACUUUAGAAGGCGGACGGUCAGUUAACAGGCGAGGAGCUGAAAAGGGUCUUUUGCAAUCGAAGACAGUCCUGCUGUGAAUUCUAAGUCUUAAGAUCAAAGCUAUCCAAGAAAGGUAUGCAGGCAAUCAGGUUGAGAGAGGUUCUGCACUAUCUGCAUCCAACAAGCUUAUUGCUUGUGCAUGCAACAAUGGGAUUCUGCAACUCUUCACGGUUGCAACUUACUAUAUUCUGAAACGAUGGAGAAAAAUCUUACAAGAAUUCUCUCCUGUUAAACAAAAUCAUCAGUGAAUGAUAUUCAACAGGCUGCCACUCUCCAGAUGCUAUUGCUUGUCAAUUUUCAACCUCCGAAAAGCUCAGCGAUUAAUAUAGUGUUGGAGAAUUCUCAUUUAUGCAAUUGCUUAUUUCACAACUGUUUGCAUUGUUUAUGGAGAUCACCCGCU